UUAAUUUCAAGGUUUAUUUGAGGUUUUUAUGGUAUUUUCUAAUUUUACGUUCUGUUGGAUUUUGUUAUUGUUUAAACUGAAUUAUGGGGUUUGAUUUAGGUUUGUUUGAAUUGGUGUUGGGCAAGGUGAAACCUAAGAAAAUCAAAAUACUCUUUCUCUCUCUUUGUUUCUCUUUUUCGGCCAAGGUGAAACCCAAAGCAAACCAAGGUUACUCAAAAUUGUUUCCUCCACAAAUUAUCCAAGAAAUCCUUUCUUAAGAGUAGUGUUGAAGUGAGGGAAGUUCAAGGUAAGGGAAAGAACUUAAUAAGAUGGCCAUGAGUUAGAGGUCUUCCCCGAAAAAUGUGCUUAUCAGCUUAUUCAGCUAGUAGUGUCGAGUUGUAAGGAUUUUGUUUACAGUGCUUUUGAAUUAAGUAUAUUUUGAUGUAAUAUCGUAUGGCUAUAUCCUUUAUAAAUUUUUAAAAAGGGAUCCCCAACCCUAUACAGUUUGUAAUGCCAAAAUAAAUUUUAUAUUUCAAACAAUUAAUAUAAUUUUUAAUUAAACUACAAUUUUAUUUAUGCUA